rnacentral:tRNA from 1 species
ACCUGGGUGGCUCAGUCAGUUAAGCAUCUGACUUUGGCUCAGGUCACGAUCUCACAGUUCGUGGGUUUGAGCCCCACAUCAGGCU